rnacentral:rRNA from 1 species
AGAUUGAACGCUAGCGGGAUGCUUUACACAUGCAAGUCGAACGGCAGCGCGGACUUCGGUCUGGCGGCGAGUGGCGAACGGGUGAGUAAUAUAUCGGAACGUGCCCAGUAGCGGGGGAUAACUACGCGAAAGCGUGGCUAAUACCGCAUACGCCCUACGGGGGAAAGGGGGGGAUCGCAAGACCUCUCACUAUUGGAGCGGCCGAUAUCAGAUUAGCUAGUUGGUGAGGUAAAGGCUCACCAAGGCGACGAUCUGUAGCUGGUUUGAGAGGACGACCAGCCACACUGGGACUGAGACACGGCCCAGACUCCUACGGGAGGCAGCAGUGGGGAAUUUGGACAAUGGGGGAAACCUGAUCCAGCCAUCCCGCGUGUGCGAUGAAGGCCUUCGGGUUGUAAGCACUUUGGCGAGGAAGAAACGGCGUUACGCCUAACGUACGGACGUACCACGUCGACGGUACCUA